UUCCCUUUGCAUUCUCUGUUUUCAGGCUUCUGCUAAUUUUUCAAUCCCCCUAAUUCUGUCUUUGGGUUUUUAUUUUUUUCUGCCUUAUACAGUUCUGUUUCUCUCCAAUUUUGAAUCAUUUGUGUCUUGUCAAAGAUCACUCUUUAAUGCCAACUGUCCUUGUUGUCUUGGCUGUUCCUUACCCUUCUCCCUGCUCCCACAGCACUGCACUGCACCCUGCUUUCCCAGCUGUGUUCUCCUGCACCCCGCGGUGCUGACCUGUGUUGGUGCUGGAUGCCUUCAGCAAAGUCCUCAGCAGAAGCUGGCUCUGCUGCGUUUUGACAAGUUUAGCAACUGCACAUCACGAACAAGUUGUAGUGUGUGCAAAGGAGAUGAGAAACCCCAGCUCUUUUAGGCUGUCAGUGCCACGUGCUGUGUUCUCUUUGAGAAGAAUCCAGCUUGGAACAACCCUGAACAGGACGGUGAGCUUCUGUAGUUCGGAAACAUUAAAACACAGCUCCCGAAUUAAACUUCUCCAUGAAUUUUGUUCUCUUGUCUGGAAGCUCAACUUUCAGCUGUGAAAAAGCUUAAAAGUUUUUUUUUUUUUUUUUUCUAAAAAUAAUAAAUAAAUUACAUCCUGAACUCC